rnacentral:rRNA from 1 species
AGAGUUUGAUCCUGGCUCAGGACGAACGCUGGCGGCGUGCCUAAUACAUGCAAGUAGAACGCUGAAGAGAGGAGCUUGCUCUUCUUGGAUGAGUUGCGAACGGGUGAGUAACGCGUAGGUAACCUGCCUUGUAGCGGGGGAUAACUAUUGGAAACGAUAGCUAAUACCGCAUAACAAUGGAUGACACAUGUCAUUUAUUUGAAAGGGGCAAUUGCUCCACUACAAGAUGGACCUGCGUUGUAUUAGCUAGUAGGUGAGGUAAUGGCUCACCUAGGCGACGAUACAUAGCCGACCUGAGAGGGUGAUCGGCCACACUGGGACUGAGACACGGCCCAGACUCCUACGGGAGGCAGCAGUAGGGAAUCUUCGGCAAUGGGGGCAACCCUGACCGAGCAACGCCGCGUGAGUGAAGAAGGUUUUCGGAUCGUAAAGCUCUGUUGUAAGUCAAGAACGGGUGUGAGAGUGGAAAGUUCACACUGUGACGGUAGCUUACCAGAAAGGGACGGCUAACUACGUGCCAGCAGCCGCGGUAAUACGUAGGUCCCGAGCGUUGUCCGGAUUUAUUGGGCGUAAAGCGAGCGCAGGCGGUUUGAUAAGUCUGAAGUUAAAGGCUGUGGCUCAACCAUAGUUCGCUUUGGAAACUGUCAAACUUGAGUGCAGAAGGGGAGAGUGGAAUUCCAUGUGUAGCGGUGAAAUGCGUAGAUAUAUGGAGGAACACCGGUGGCGAAAGCGGCUCUCUGGUCUGUAACUGACGCUGAGGCUCGAAAGCGUGGGGAGCAAACAGGAUUAGAUACCCUGGUAGUCCACGCCGUAAACGAUGAGUGCUAGGUGUUGGAUCCUUUCCGGGAUUCAGUGCCGCAGCUAACGCAUUAAGCACUCCGCCUGGGGAGUACGACCGCAAGGUUGAAACUCAAAGGAAU